rnacentral:rRNA from 1 species
CCUACGGGAGGCAGCAGUGGGGGAUAUUGCACAAUGGACGAAACUCUGAUGCAGCGACGCCGCGUGAGGGAAGACGGUCUUCGGAUUGUAAACCUCUGUCUUUGGAGAAGAAAAUGAAGGUACCCAAAGAGGAAGCUCCGGCUUACUACGUGCCAGCAGCCGGGGUUAUAUGUAGGGAGCGAGCGUUGUCCGGAAUUACGUGGUGUAAAGGGAGCUUAGGCGGGCGAGAAAGUUGAAUGUUAAAUCUACCGGCUUAACUGGGAGCUGCGUUCAAAACUGCUUGUCUUGAGUGAAGUAGAGGCAGGCGGAAUUCCUAGUGUAGCGGUGAAAUGCGUAGAUAUUAGGAGGAACACCAGUGGCGAAGGCGGCCUGCUGGGCUUUAACUGACGCUGAGGCUCGAAAGCGUGGGGAGCAAACAGGAUUAGAUACCCUUGUAGUC